rnacentral:rRNA from 1 species
UGAGGAAUAUUGGUCAAUGGGCGCAAGCCUGAACCAGCCAUCCCGCGUGAAGGAAGAAUGCGCUAUGCGUUGUAAACUUCUUUUCCAGGGGAAUAAAAUUCUGUACGUGUACGGGAUUGAAGGUACCCUGGGAAUAAGCAUCGGCUAACUCCGUGCCAGCAGCCGCGGUAAUACGGAGGAUGCGAGCGUUAUCCGGAUUUAUUGGGUUUAAAGGGUGCGUAGGCGGAUUAAUAAGUCAGUGGUGAAAACCUUCAGCUUAACUGGAGACUUGCCAUUGAUACUGUUAGUCUUGAGUGUGGUUAAGGUAGGCGGAAUGUGUAAUGUAGCGGUGAAAUGCUUAGAUAUUACACAGAACACCGAUUGCGAAGGCAGCUUACUGAGCCAUAACUGACGCUGAUG